rnacentral:rRNA from 1 species
UACGGGGGGGGCAAGCGUUGUUCGGAAUUACUGGGCGUAAAGGGCUCGUAGGCGGUUUGUUGCGUCGGCUGUGAAAUCCCGAGGCUCAACCCUGAGCGUGCUUCCGAUACGGGCAGACUAGAGGUAUGCAGGGGAGAACGGAAUUCCUGGUGUAGCGGUGGAAUGCGCAGAUAUCAGGAGGAACACCGGUGGCGAAGGCGGUUCUCUGGGCAUUACCUGACGCUGAGGAGCGAAAGCAUGGGGAGCGAACAGG